UUUGAACGCAUUCAAACUAAAAAUCAAAAUACUCUGUGAACCUGUGAAAACACUCCCUCAGUGUUGCCAUUAGCGUACAUUUUACACAUUUGACGUACUAUUUUAGCCUCCCAUGUGUAAUGUGUAUAUAAUUGGUCCAUGUAAUGUACCAUUUAAACUUAACUUCCAAUAUCAUGAUUAUCAUGUGUAAAAUCUUUGUUUAUGGACUAUUUUACGUAUUUUUUUUGGAAUCGCAGCAAAAAAAUUAUUAACCACAAUUAGUUACGAUUUUGAUUUUCUUGUAUGAUUAUUUUCUCAACCAAUAUGAUUAUUACAUGAUUACAAUGAGUAUAAGUAUAUCAUACAUAAAACUGCGGGGUACCUACUCUGAAGGUUUUAGGACAUUGUAACACUUUUUAAAAUGCUAUAAUAAAUAUAGGUACGUUUCUCACGACUAAAAUCUAUUAAAAUAUAGUACUUCUGCUGACGAGCAGGUGCGAAAGAGCUGGAAAAGCUAAAUUGAGUGAUUUUAGUAAAAAAACAGCUCAUGUACGGUUUUAACCCUAAAUGUACGUUUUCAGCGCUGGAUAUGUGCGUUUUGAGAACUCCGUUGCGGCAACACUGCACUCCCUCCACUUCAUUCAUACAACAUACAAUAACAAUGAUAAAACAAAAUUACAAAUGGAAUUUCCUUAUUUAAAUAGAUAUUUGUGCACUAAAUACAUAAUAAUAUGACAAAGAAGAAGAAGACGUUGCGUGUCACCGUAUAGCCUAGGAAAUAUCUUGUGAAAGUUUUAACUCAAGGCGGAAAUUUAUUGAAAAAAUACUCAACAUAACCUACAAUUACAGUGAAAUACUGAAAAUAUCUUGUACCGUGAUAAUAUUUCUGAAUAAUAAGUGCAAACCCAUACUCUAAGAUCGUGCUUUCAACCACAUACUUAAUACAAUUCCAUAAUCAUAUCGAAAUCCAAAAGUUCGUAAGUCGUAAUUGAUCAUAGUUUAGGUGUGUACUUAUUAGACUCAUGCAUUGUAAACUCUAUAAACGAUUACUCGUAAUGUAUUAAUCAUAUUAAAAGUUGAAUGCGGCUGU